AGUGGAUGGGGAGCAACCUAGUUGUGCGUGUGUAAAGGUAGUGCCAAGAAAAGCGAUGAUCAUGUUGAAAAUCAAUUCCCGGUACCCGAAACCGACACAGGUGGGCAAGUAGAGAAUACUAAGGGGCGCGAGGUAACUCUCUCCAAGGAACUCGGCAAAAUGACCCCGUAACUUAGGGGGAGGGGGUGCCACCGAGAGGUGGUCGCAGUGAAGAGGCCCAGGCGACUGUUUAGCAAAAACAUAGGUCUCUGCAAACUCGAAAGAGGAGGUAUAGGGGCUGACGCCUGCCCAGUGCCGGAAGGUUAAAGAAGUUGGUCAGUUUUAGGAUGAAGCUAGCGACUGAAGCCCCGGUGAACGGCGGCCGUAACUAUAACGGUCCUAAGGUAGCGAAAUUCCUUGUCGGGUAAGUACCGACCCGCACGAAAGGCGUAACGAUCUGGGCGCUGUCUCGGAGAGAGGCUCGGCGAAAUAGGAUUGUCUGUGAAGAUACGGACUACCUGCAUUUGGACAGAAAGACCCUAUGAAGCUUUACUAUAGCUUGGAAUUGUGUUCGGGCUUCCUGUGCGCAGGAUAGGUGGGAGGCGUAGAAGGUAUUCUUGUGGGGAUACUGGAGCCAACGGUGAGAUACCACUCUCAGGAGGCUAGAAUUCUAACUUAAUUAAGGACAGUUUCAGGUGGGUAGUUUGACUGGGGCGGUCGCCUCCAAAAAGGUAACGGAGGCGUACAAAGGUUCCCUCAGACUGGUUGGAAAUCAGUCGAAGAGUGCAAAGGCAGAAGGGAGCUUGACUGCGAGAAGUACAGUUCGAGCAGGGUGGAAACACGGUCUUAGUGAUCCGACGGUGCUGUGUGGAAGGGCCGUCGCUCAACGGAUAAAAGUUACUCUAGGAUAACAGGCUGAUCUCCCCCAAGAGUUCACAUCGACGGGGAGGUUUGGCACCUCGAUGUCGGCUCAUCGCAACCUGGGGCGGAAGUACGUCCCAAGGGUUGGGCUGUUCGCCCAUUAAAGCGGUACGUGAGCUGGGUUCAGAACGUCGUGAGACAGUUCGGUCCAUAUCCGAUGUAGGCGUGAGAAUAUUGAGAGGAGCCUUCCUUAGUACGAGAGGACCGGGAAGGACGCACCGCUGGUGUACCUGUUAUGAUGCCAAUUGUAAACGCAGGGUAGCCAAGUGCGGAGAGGAUAACCGCUGAAAGCAUCUAAGUGAGAAGCCCACCUCAAGAUGAGUAUUCUGGUGUAAGGUCACGGGAAGACGACCCGUAAAUAGGCACGAGGUGGAAGUGCAGAGAUGUAUGAAGCCGAAGUGUACUAAUAGACCGUCGGCUUGACCA
rnacentral:rRNA from 1 species